CCUUUGGAGAACUAUAUCAAAUUAAAGUAGCGAGAAAGUGGCAAAAUAAGGUUCGGUGAAAAAGGAA
rfam:Epulopiscium sp. Nele67-Bin004 Nele67MMBin003_203, whole genome shotgun sequence.